rnacentral:rRNA from 1 species
CCUACGGUGGGCAGCAGUCGAGAAUCAUUCACAAUGGGGGAAACCCUGAUGGUGCGACGCCGCGUGGGGGAAUGAAGGCCUUCGGAUUGUAAACCCCUGUCAUGUGGGAGCAAAUUAAAAAGAUAGUACCACAAGAGGAAGAGACGGCUAACUCUGUGCAAGCAGCCGCGGUAAUACAGAGGUCUCAAGCGUUGUUCGGAAUCACUGGGCGUAAAGCGUGCUUAUGCUGUUUCGUAAGUCGUGUGUGAAAGGCGCGGGCUCAACCCGCGGACGGCACAUGAUACUGCGAAACUAGAGUAAUGGAGGGGGAACCGGAAUUCUCGGUGUAGCAGUGAAAUGCGUAGAUAUCGGGAGGAACACUCGUGGCGAAGGCGGGUUCCUGGACAUUAACUGACGCUGAGGCACGAAGGCCAGGGGAGCGAAAGGGAUUAGAUACCCUUGUAGUC